rnacentral:rRNA from 1 species
UAGGGAAUCUUCCGCAAUGGACGCAAGUCUGACGGAGCAACGCCGCGUGUGUGAAGAAGGAUUUCGGUUCGUAAAACUCUGUUGUUAGAGAAGAACAGCGCAUAGAGUAACUGUUAUGCGUGUGACGGUAUCUAACCAGAAAGCCACGGCUAACUACGUGCCAGCAGCCGCGGUAAUACGUAGGUGGCAAGCGUUGUCCGGAUUUAUUGGGCGUAAAGCGAGCGCAGGCGGUCAAUUAAGUCUGAUGUGAAAGCCCCCGGCUCAACCGGGGAGAGUCAUUGGAAACUGGUUGACUUGAGUGCAGAAGAGGAGAGUGGAAUUCCAUGUGUAGCGGUGAAAUGCGUAGUUAUAUGGAGGAACACCAGUGGCGAAGGCGACUCUCUGGUCUGUAACUGACGCUGAGGUUCGAAAGCGUGGGUAGCAAACAGG